UGAAAGAGGACAUUCCGCAAGGACGCGUUGCGAGGUGCUGCAUGGUUGUCGUCAGCUCGUGCCGUGAGGUGUCGGAUUAAGUUCCAUAACGAGCGCAACCCUUAUCGUUAGUUGCCAGCGGGUCAAGCCGGGGACUCUAACGAAACUGCCAGCGUAAGCUGUGAGGAAGGUGGGGAUGACGUCAAAUCAGCACGGCCCUUACGUCCAGGGCUACACACGUGUUACAAUGGCCGGUACAGAGGGCAGCUACCCCGUGAGGGGAUGCGAAUCUCCAAAGCCGGUCUCAGUUCGGAUUGAAGUCUGCAACUCGACUUCAUGAAGUUGGAUUCGCUAGUAAUCGCGCAUCAGCAACGGCGCGGUGAAUACGUUCCCGGGCCUUGUACACACCGCCCGUCAAGCCAUGGGAGCCGGGGGUACCUGAAGUACGUGACCGUAAGGAGCGUCCUAGGGUAAAACUGGUGACUGGGGCUAAGUCGUAACAAGGUAGCCGUACCGGAAGG
rnacentral:rRNA from 1 species